rnacentral:rRNA from 1 species
GACGAACGCUGGCGGCGUGCUUAACACAUGCAAGUCGAACGGAAAGGCCCUGCUUUUGUGGGGUGCUCGAGUGGCGAACGGGUGAGUAACACGUGAGUAACCUGCCCUUGACUUUGGGAUAACUUCAGGAAACUGGGGCUAAUACCGGAUAGGAGCUCCUGCUGCAUGGUGGGGGUUGGAAAGUUUCGGCGGUUGGGGAUGGACUCGCGGCUUAUCAGCUUGUUGGUGGGGUAGUGGCUUACCAAGGCUUUGACGGGUAGCCGGCCUGAGAGGGUGACCGGCCACAUUGGGACUGGGAUACGGCCCAGACUCCUACGGGGGGCAGCAGGUGGGAAUAUUGCACAAUGGGCGGAAGCCUGAUGCAGCAACGCCGCGUGCGGGAUGACGGCCUUCGGGUUGUAAACCGCUUUCGCCUUUGACGAAGCGUGAGUGACGGUAAUGGGUAAAGAAGCACCGGCUAACUACGUG